AACGAACGCUGGCGGCGUGCCUAACACAUGCAAGUCGAACGAGAAAGGGGCUUCGGCUCCGAGUAAAGUGGCGCACGGGUGAGUAACACGUGGGUAACCUGCCUCUAAGAUUGGGAUAACUCGUCGAAAGAUGAGCUAAUACCGGAUAAGACCACCGUUCCCGCGGGAACAGGGGUCAAAGGUAGCCUCUGCUUGCAAGCUAUCACUUAGAGAUGGGCCUGCGCACCAUUAGCUAGUUGGUAGGGUAACGGCCUACCAAGGCAAAGAUGGUUAGCUGGGCUGAGAGGAUGAUCAGCCACACUGGAACUGAGACACGGUCCAGACUCCUACGGGAGGCAGCAGUGGGGAAUAUUGCGCAAUGGGCGAAAGCUUGACGCAGCAACGCCGCGUGAGUGAUGAAGGCCUUCGGGUCGUAAAGUACUUUCAGCGGGGAGGAAGGCGGUGCGGUUAAUAACCGCGCCGAUUGACGUUACCCGCAGAAGAAGCACCGGCUAACUCCGUGCCAGCCGCCGCAGUAAGAC
rnacentral:rRNA from 1 species